rnacentral:rRNA from 1 species
UACAGAGGUCUCAAGCGUUGUUCGGAUUCAUUGGGCGUAAAGGGCGCGUAGGCUGCGGGGCAAGUCGGGUGUGAAAUCUCAGAGCUCAACUCUGAAACUGCACUCGAUACUGCUUUGCUUGAGGACUGGAGAGGAGAUUGGAAUUCACGGUGUAGCAGUGAAAUGCGCAGAUAUCAGGAGGAACACCGGUGGCGAAGGCGGCUUGCUGGGCCUUACCUGACGCUGAGGAGCGAAAGCGUGGGGAGCGAACAGG